rnacentral:rRNA from 1 species
UACAGAGGUCUCAACCGUUGUUCGGAUUCAUUGGGCGUAAAGGGUGCGUAGGCGGUCGGGUAAGUCGGAUGUGAAAUCUCAGGGCUCAACCCUGAAACUGCAUUCGAUACUGCCUGGCUAGGGUACUGGAGAGGAGACUGGAAUUUACGGUGUAGCAGUGAAAUGCGUAGAUAUCGUAAGGAAGACCAGUGGCGAAGGCGGGUCUCUGGGCCGAUACUGACGCUGAGGAGCGAAAGCGUGGGGAGCGAACAGG